GCAUGUACGGAAUCCUGCAGAGACGCAGGAGUGCUCGAAAGAGAGCCGUAACACAGGUGCUGCAUGGCUGUCGUCAGCUCGUGUCGUGAGAUGUUGGGUUAAGUCCCGCAACGAGCGCAACCCUUGCCAUUAGUUGCUACGAAAGGGCACUCUAAUGGGACUGCCGGUGACAAACCGGAGGAAGGUGGGGAUGACGUCAAGUCCUCAUGGCCCUUAUAGGUGGGGCUACACACGUCAUACAAUGGCUGGUACAAAGGGUUGCCAACCCGCGAGGGGGAGCCAAUCCCAUAAAGCCAGUCGUAGUCCGGAUCGCAGUCUGCAACUCGACUGCGUGAAGUCGGAAUCGCUAGUAAUCGUGGAUCAGCAUGUCACGGUGAAUACGUUCCCGGGUCUUGUACACACCGCCCGUCACACCAUGGGAGCGGGUUCUGCCAGAAGUAGUUAGCCUAACCGCAAGGAGGGCGAUUACCACGGCAGGGUUCGUGACUGGGGUGAAGUCGUAACAAGGUAGCCGUAUCGGAAGGUGCGGCUGGAUCACCUCCUUUAUGAG
rnacentral:rRNA from 1 species